GGGAGGUAAAACGACAAACAAUAUCUGCGAACAUAAUUAUUUUCUCCAAAACUUUGUUAAGAAAGAUAAAGUAACCGGCAAUCCUGAAGUUUUCGAUUUGAACAUAGCACAACAAAAUCAAAAGGGGGUUUCUUCUGAUUACUUCAGAGUUGUAUCCCAAUUUUGUCGAGUAGAUACCUGAUCGUAGGGGCUGCCACACAAAGAUGUCUCUUGCUCCUUCUUUGCUCUGGUUUAGGCACAAAUUUUUUUGAGGUGCGCUUCACUUAUCGGACCGCAUGGUUUGAGAUUGGAGUCAAGGCUUAUCCAGGCGUCUUUCCACACUCUCGUAUCCUGACCAUUGUCUAAGGCCUUCCCCAGAUUUUCCUUAAGAAGAUCUCUUCCGUAGAGCAUACUUCUCCAACCGUGUGAGCACACAGCAGUGAGGACCGCUUUAAGCAUGGUGAGCUUCCCUGUUCUGGAGAGAAAACGUGACGACCAGCUUGACGCUCUCUGCCUGAUACAAUCCACAACUGAGGUGAAAAGAUUUUUUUUUUCCUUUUUCCAAAGUGUUCGGGAGGCUUAAGUAUUUUCCGACACCUCCUUCUUUUGCAAUUCCAAGAAUUGCUUGUCUUUUAACUUCCAUAACUUUUAAUUUUCCGUGGAUCAAUUAUCGAU